rnacentral:snoRNA from 1 species
AUCAUUUUGCAGCUUAUACAUGUGAUGACUGGGUUUUUUAACUCAUAAGUGAGAUGUGACAUUUCUUUCUUACAUCUUAUUAUGACAUUAGUACAUUACCCAUUUCAUA